UACAGAGGUCUCGAGCGUUGUUCGGAUUUAUUGGGCGUAAAGGGUGCGUAGGCGGUAUGGCAAGUCAAGUGUGAAAUCUCGGAGCUCAACUUCGAAACUGCACUUGAUACUACUAUGCUAGAGGGUUGUAGAGGAGACCGGAAUUCACGGUGUAGCAGUGAAAUGCGUAGAUAUCGUGAGGAAGACCAGUUGCGAAAGCGGGUCUCUGGGCAAUUCCUGACGCUGAGGAGCGAAAGCGUGGGGAGCGAACAGG
rnacentral:rRNA from 1 species